AGUCGCGUGUUUGCCAUUAGUUUUUUGAAGUGCUGUUGGGGCUGGGGCUGCGUGAUCGUCACUGGCGUCCUCCAGAGUGCCCACCGAUCAGAAAGUCGUACGAACCGCAAGCUUUGAACGUCUGUUUAUCGCACCCUCGAAAGCGGCGGCACAGAAGGUGCGAUGUGAGCUCCGGUGGGAACAGCAGCCCUUUGUCUCGUAACGGUGCCGUCCAGACUGGCCAUGAGACCAGCGAGUUUGCUGUAGAAACAGCCAUUUGGGAGUGGCUGCGUCACGCUUCUGCCAGGCACAGAACUGCCAUUGCCAAGGACUGUGCCACUGAACAGCUCGGAUAUGUGUGACAUGGUUCCCUCGGCCUGUUGUACCUUUACCUAUCACCCGCGGCAUCUAGCUGCCAGUGUGACCUUGCUUUCUUCAGCGCUGUGCCACUGAAUAGCCCGGACACGUCUGACAUGGUCUCCUAGGCCUGCUGUACUUUCACCCAUCACCCGUGGCGUCUAGAUCCAGUGUGCCGAGUUGUCCAAAACUGCCAAGUGCUUUAUGAUGUCACCAAUGUGCCAAAUGCUCUAGUACUGUUAUGUGCUCCGCCACUCUGCCAUGCGCUCUCCACUUCUCCAGUAUAUAAAGUGUCCCAUGGCGUCUCCAUUUGCGAAGUGCAUUACCAAGUCUCCAAGUGCUCCAGUACUGUGUUAUGUGCUCCGCUGCUGUGCCGAGUGCUCUCUGUUUAUGCAGUAUACCAAGUGCCCAUUGCGUCUCCGCAUUUUACCAAGUGCUCCAAUAUUGUCAACUGCUUGACCACGUCUGGAAUGUGCCAUGUGCUCCACUGCUGUGCAAAACGUAUACUUUGUAAAUGAUAUACAUGUCUUAAGUUCAACCAGUACCUCUAUUGCAUAACUUAUCCAUACAGUGGGUCUUCACAUAGACUUCUAAGUCAGUAUGUACACAUAUUGUAGAGUUGUGUUACUGUUUCUGUAGAGUAGAUGUGGGUCAACAUGUUUUUUUUUCUUCAUAGAAGGCUACAGCGCGGAACCAACAAAGACAAGGAACACAGACACAGUGCUGACUUUCAACAAGAAUCAGCUUUCUGAAAGUCAGUGCUGUGUCUGUUCUUUGUGUGCCUCUCCUGUCUUCGUCGGUUUCGUGCCAUGGCCUUCUACGAUGUUCAACCAACAAGCCCAACUGGUUACUCUGCUCAAAUGUUUUUUCUACCACUCUUGGCACCUUUGUGCUGUUUCCUAUAUCAAGUGCCCAGCUUGCUGCUGCCAUUGAUGUCAUCAUUGCCAAAACAGCUUUCAUAAAUAACAGCAUAAAGU